rnacentral:sRNA from 1 species
CACCAAAAAAAUAUGGUACAUUCGGGUCUAUAGUAUUUUUGCAAGACUUUUUUGGUGGAUUUGGGUAAAAGUGCAUUCAGGUCAUAUGGUACAUUCCCCUAUUAAAUAAAUAUGGUGCACUCCUAUGUUAUUAGCUAAAAUAUUUAGAUUAUAAUUCAGAGUCAUAUCAUAAU